AGCGGCAGUUGAGGAGCUUGGGGUCGUCAGGGUUAUUUUGGAAAGACUGGAAUUGCUAUUUGGGAAAACCUGCAACUAUUUUAGCCUAACACACGUGGUAUCCGUGGUUUCCACAGUUCUCACGCGUAUAUCCCACAAAAAAAUCGCCGCUGCACUGCUUAGCCUAUCUCAGUGUUCAUAGCUGGGAAGUAAAUCUCCUUUUAAUCUAUCUUCAGGUCGUCUGCUUUUUCCUUGCUCUUUCUCUUGCACUUCGGUGGAUUAUUGCGGUAAUUAUCCUUCUUUCUUAUCUUCUGUUUUUCCCCAUAUUUCAUAGGAUACUAGGAUCUAACAUUCUACUGCUGAAACCAUUAAAACCAACGCUUAAUGGAGUAAAACACAUCAAAAAAUCAAAAAGUGAAAUAUUACCUCGCUGACUUUUCUAUUCUCUGGUAUCAAAAUUGACUCUAACUAUCAGAAGUCUGUUAUUUUUAUCGCACCAUUCUCUUGGACUUUUGGGUAACUAUUUAAUUUUGUCAUUGAAGCUUGAGUUUUUCCCUCCACUUCAUUUUGCGUGCAAGAUUUUACUGAAGAAGAAUUGGGUAAAAGUCCUUAGGUAAAACUAUUGUGUUAUAGGUGUUUGAUAAAUUUCUUUAAGAGAUUAAUUAAUUUUUCAUUACUGGUUUGCUCUCCAUUAAAAUAUAAACAUAUUGUAAUUUGGCAUGCGACAAAACUGGUGGUUCUCAAAUUUUUAUUCAUAUAAGUUGCAAAAACAAGUGAAAGCUUUUUUGGAUUAAUUGCAAUAGACACAUAGGAAUUUUCGGAAGUUAGAACCUGCCAGUCCAAAUGCAAAGUACCAUUAUUCAACGAAUCAUGCAAAAGUCCCUCUUCAUCGUGAUGUGGUCAAUUUGAUUAUGUAAUUAGCUAGGUCUUCACUGAAGUUCCAAUUUGAGAAUUGCGUGAUCUUCCUUUGAAAAUUCCUUGGUAGAUGAAGUAAUAGAGAACUACUAAAAAGAAAAAUUGAAAAUUUCAUCUCCUACAUAGAGGAAAUGUGUAAUUCUAGAUGAUACCUUCUUGGUUACAGUAAGUUGGCAUCACUGCUACAUCGUGUAAUUUGGCACGAAAAAGUUGAAUAUAUGUAUAAGUUUGAUUUUGGCAUGUUAAAAAUGCAUUGUAACUUUUGUUUUUUGAUAAGAGGAAACCCGCAGCCGCUACACUUGGUGCGCACUGGGUAAACUUCCCCUGUGUAAUAGCCUGCAAACCACACAGGGAGAUAAACCGCACUAGAUAAGCCAUGCGUGACAGGCUCAACCCAGAAGGCAUUGAGGGGGAUUCAAUCCCAGAAGGUUUUUAAAAAUGCAUUGUAACUGUGGCGGCAUUGAUCUUUUCCAUUUGUUUUUGUCCCCUAGAAAUAGAAAGCCAAAUUAGAUAUAAUUGGCAAAACGACAAAUCAUUAAAGAGAUGUAGGAAAUUCCAUAGUCCUGGAUGAUAUGAAUCAUGGUGUUCAAACUUCAAAUAAAAAUAUUGUGACAAAUUGUUCCAUCCAAAGAGCCAUGUUGCGUCUUUCAUUUAAGUUUAGUAUGAACACAAGUUGAAGGGACAAGAUGCGUUGGUAUUGAUCAUCAGUGGGUGUAAAUUGCAAAAUGAUGUCCUAUUUUGACCAACUAAAAUGGAUUGAUUCAGAAAGAAAAUAUAAUAAACACAUUGAAACUAAGAUAGUGCAAUCGACUUAGGAUGUUGAGCCUUGUGGGACGAAAGAAUAUGAAUAAUUCUGGAAGUUAUCUGUUAAACUCUACUAAAAUCUGUAGAGGUUUUAAGCCAAGCUUUAAGUUAAAGUGAAUAUACUGAAGAGUGUGGAAUGAAAAUCAUAAGAAAUUUGAAUUUAGAUAUAAAUAUUAUGUGAUUUUUUUAUAUUAUCAAUAAAACACUACAUAAUUUUCUAGAAAUGCUUUUUACUUAUUCAGACGUUACUUUUUAUAAGAUAACGUAAUUAAAGAGUUUCACGUAAAAACUCGAUUAUCUUGUAUUGUACUCUUAUGUUUUUUUUUUUUCAUGUCUCUCUUUGUUGCACAACUAUUUUCUAUAGAUAUAUUCUCUUCUUAAUCCCAAGUGUCGAUCUGUGCUUAUGUGAAUUCGGUGAGUGUUUACUUCAGUUAAGGUUUAAUUCAAUUAGAUCUGGUUUACUUUGCUUACAAUCUCCUUUGUGGCAAUCUGUAUAUUGGUAUGUUAGUUGAUAGACUUUCAUCUUUUUUAAAAUUUUAAGUUUUGUAGGAAGACCGUAAUAGAUUCAAGUGCACCAGUUCAGGAGAAGGCUCUUGAUACUUUCAUUUUAUGCACACAUGCUACCUUCUACUUUCGCCAAUUCUGAUGAUUUACACACAUGUGCUAAUACUUAUUUUACUUUUGCGUUUUCUAGAUCAGCUUGUCGUCUCAGAUAUAAAGACAAAAAUAUUCUGCUUUCUAAGAGUACAUGCAAAAACAUUCUGCUUCCUAAGAGCACAAAAACUAUCAGGGACCUAGUUCAGCUUGUAGAAUUGCAGCAGCAAGAAGAAUUACAUAUUAAUUUAGAUACUUGCACAAUAUACUUUUGAUUGGUUUAAUUUCAAUUUGACUUUUGAUGCAACUUAAAAGUUAAUCAGUUAGUGUUCUUAGUUUUGCAACAGUUUGAAUCACAUUGUAUGAUAUUUGUUCACAUUUGUUUCACGGUCAGUGAAGAGAAGUGCUUUACGUUAAAUCAAAAACUAAUAAGGUCUUGGGCUCGGGCUCAGCCCGGCCUACCUCCAACUAGUUCUCCUAUAUAAAAAGCACCGUAGGAACAGCUGAAGCAGCCUACUCUUCGUCGACAUGCCAGCUUAAGCCAAAAUAGUUUCACUCCUGCUUUUCAACAUUAUUACAUCAACUGCCAUCACAUAAUUUUGUAAAUAAAAUAAAUAUUUUAGGUAUUUUCAAAGCCUACUUUUGACCUUUCACCGCUACUUUAGCUAAAGUGACAGGUUUUACAUCUUGGGCUGACUCAUUAUAACUACAACCCAACACGUAGAUUACUUUUGACAGUUGCAAGAUAAUUUCAUAUGGUACAGAAAAUUAUACACCUACGGAUACUCUCCUUUCCAGAACUUUGUUUUUGGAUUACCUUAGCUCUGUGAACUUCAGACUUAAGUUGUCGUGUCUACUUGAUUGAAAGAUCUUUUGGUAUUUUGCUUGGUUUUCCUAUUGGCUUUCUCUGAAGAACACUGCGUUUGUUUGCUAAUCAGGGGUUAUGGCGACUGCUGCUUGAGAAGUUCUAUUUCGAAUUUUCUACUUAUUUCAAGAUUGAAGUUGUAAGAGUAGUGGGAGGUUUUAAUAUCACUAAAGAGCUGAAUUAAGAAAGCUCGAUUUGUGACGAUCUUAUUUUCAAGGGAUUUUCAAGGAAAUCAUCGAGAUUUGAGCCGUCCGGAGGUGGCUUCACUCAUGAAGAUCAUUUAAAGACUCGGUUUAGUUUCGCCGAUGUAUUGGAGAUACCAGACUCGGGCAGAGUUAGUGUGUUG